UACGUAGGGUGCGAGCGUUAAUCGGAAUCUGGGCGUAAAGCGUGCGCAGGCGGUGAUGUAAGACCGAUGUGAAAUCCCCGGGCUUAACCUGGGAACUGCAUUGGUGACUGCAUUGCUGGAGUAUGGCAGAGGGGGGGUGGAAUUCCACGUGUAGCAGUGAAAUGCGUAGAGAUGUGGAGGAACACCGAUGGCGAAGGCAGCCCCCUGGGCCAAUACUGACGCUCAUGCACGAAAGCGU
rnacentral:rRNA from 1 species